rnacentral:rRNA from 1 species
CAAGAGCGUAUAUUAAAGUUGCUGCGGUUAAAAAGCUCGUAGUUGGAUUUCAGUCUAGGAAGGUUAACUCGCCGAAAGGUUGUACGUUGAUUUUCCUCAGACUUCGUCAGAAGCUCGUGCUGCACUUAACUGUGUGGUACGAUGUUCUGACCUUUUACCUUGAGGAAAGUAGAGUGUUUCAGGCAGGCUACCCAGCUUGAAUACAUUAGCAUGGAAUAAUGAAAUGGAUCUCGGUUCGAUUUCGUUGGUUCUAGAGCUGAGGUGAUGAUCAAUAGGAACAGGCGAAGGUAUUCGUACUUGAGAGUGAGGAGUGAAAUCCGAUGAUCUCUUAAAGACGAUCCGGGGCGAAAGCAUUUGUCAAGGAUGUUUUCAUUGA